UCUCUCGUGGCGCAAUUGGCUAGCGCGUUCCACUGUUACUGUUACUACCACCUCCUUGCAGUGCGAUCGAGAGGUUGGUGGUUCGAGCCCACCCGAGAGAG